rnacentral:piRNA from 2 species
CAACCCUAGGAGGGGGUGCCAUUCA